rnacentral:lncRNA from 1 species
UUUUAUACAAGCUCUCCUCAAUAUUUCAAGACAUACAAUAAUUAUCCCCGUAUAUUUUUCAUUUUGUUAGUUCUUUUUUCUCUCGUUCUUUUAAUCUUUUCCCCAUUCCAUUAUGUUUUCAUAUCCAGACCUCUCCCGAGAAGCCCCACCUAAUUCCUUCUUCGGAUCCCUCAAUUUCCACUCUUCACUAUUUUCUCCAAUCCAGAUUCAAAAAAAUAAUUUUUCCCGGCUGUAAUGGCACCUUGUUUCUAAACAACUUAUUAACUAAAAUUUACUGCAGUAACUAAAUUAAUUUUCAACACAUCUAAUUACUCAUUUUAACGGGUGCGGGGUUGAUCAAGUUGGAGGAAAAAACAAUUGAAGAAUUUGCUCACUGGAUCUGAUCAAACUUUCUCAUUGUUUCUGAGCGGAACCAAUCAUGAAUUCCUUUUCUUUCGGCAUGCGUCUUAGGUUAGUAACCCAACCCCAAUUAAAACUCAUGUUUCUUGUGCUUGUUAUUGGAUCAAAUUUGCAAAAUAUUAUCUGGGUCAUUGAUUUUUUUUUGCUGAAAUUUUCUGAUUUUCAGUCUGAAGUUUUAGAUACGAGCUCCUCUCGAUUUGGAUUCAUUAUAUAUAAUUCACUCAAAAUAAUUUUCGUUUUUCAAAUCAUUUUCGUUUGCGGUAUUUCAAAUUUUCAAAUCGAGCUUUGAAGCUUUAGUGGUUGAUCAAUCAUAGAAAGAAGGAAGUAAAAGAAGAAAGAAGAAGGUAGAAGAAGCCAUUAAUGGCUGAAUCCCAGAAGGAAGAAGAACAAGCAGUAUGAUGAAUGGCCAGUUUGGAUAAUCUUAGUAAAGUUAGGCUAAUUUCUUUGCAGACAAAAUGACCGACGGGCGUAUCGCAUAAUUAUUCCAUAAUAUUAUCGUUAGGGAAUUUCGUCUUUGAAAGGUAAUUAUAAUCAAAGAACAGUUAAACUAUGAAAUUUCUAUUUUGUGAACCAAAAAAUUAAUAUUUCUUUAUACUAUAAUAUAUCAAAAUUGAUUGUACAAUUUAACAUUUACGUUACAGAAUAUUUAAUUUAAUAAAAGGGUGCUAAUCAAUAUAUAUAUAUAUAUACUAGUUCCACCCAGGCGCGUGCCAAGACGGGUAUUAUAUUUUUAUCUUUUAAUUAAUCUUAUUUAAUGAAAUAUUAAACAUGCUUUUUUGAUAAGUAUUCAUAAUUAUUUAAGUUAAUAAUUAUCUAAUUGAAUAAUUUAAAUUAAAAUAUUAUUUUUGAGAAAUAAAUAUAUUGUCAGAGAAUUAGAUAUAUAAAUAAUUCUUGAAGAUAAAUAAUUUUUGAAGAUAAGUAUAUAAAUAAUUUUGAUUCGCCAAAAAUAAUAAAUCAAAAAAUAUGAUACUUUUAUGAAUUUGUUAGUAUAGAUAAAAUAAAUUUAUUUUGAUGAAAAAUCUUUUUUUCUUCUUAUAGAAUUAUUUACUACAACAAAUAUUUUUAUCACUUCAAGUUUAUAUUAAAAUAAUUAGAACAUUAAUUUAGAGUCUUAACACAAAUGACGAAUAAGGACAUUAAAUAGUAAUUAAAUUACAUAAUACAUUACUCAUUUACUUGUCAUAUUUAUUUUCUUACACGCCCUUUAAAGAAUAAACUUUUCUUCCCAUUAUAAUUAUUAAUUUACUUUUUUGAUGUCCACUAAGAAAAAUAGUAGUAAAUAUAAGAUAAUGCCUAUUAAGUUGUCCUAUUUAGUACUUAUAUUUUUUAAAAAAAAUUAAAUAAGAUUUGUAAAAGAUUUCAACCGUGUAGUAAAAAAUUAUUGCAAACGUUAAUUUCAUGUUAAAAGGUAUUUUGACGUAAUUUUUUUUCAAGUUAAAGUGAUUGUUUUUAAUAAAUAAAAGAAGUUAUAAUUAAAAGGCAAUCCAAUAAAUUACAAGAGGAAACCAAUUAUAAAAGGCCAAGUGAAGAUGGCCUUAACAAAAAAAGGAGAGGGCAAAAAUAAAAAUAUACAAGAAAAGGAAAUCAUCAAUGCACUACAAAUUUGACAUGUACAAUAACUUUGCUUAAAAAAAAGUGAAAUGUCUAAAAAGUCCUUGUGAGGACUACCAAACUUGUGAUUCUCCCUUAUAUAUAAGUACUAGUCUCGGGGGGGCCGUGCUAAGCUCGGGGCCAACCUCAAGAUCUAAAAAGUGAAAUGUCUAAAAAGUCCUUGUGAGGACUACCAAACUUGUGAUUCUUCCUUAUAUAUAUAUGUAUAUAUAUAUAUAUGUAUAUAUGUAUGUAUGUAUACUAGGUGGGAAUACACUGGGUAUGCUGUUGUUGAUAUGUAGGACAUACAACAAUAAAUAAUGUAAAUACAAAGUAAGAAAACAUGAAUGAAUGCAAGAAGAUGAUUUCAAUCAAACCUAAAAUAAGAAGAAAAGUAGAAGUAGAAGAAAUUGACUCACAAUUUUUAACUUCAUAAUUAUAAGUAAAGUUUAGCCGUAUCUUUAACAUCUCAAUAAACAUGGCCGAUGAGAUAUAAGAACAAUAUAAAUUUUAAUAAUAGUUAAUUUUUUAUUUAGACGAAUAUGAAUCCUUGUGGGUUAUUGCAUAUAGAUUCUAAAUAUAAUUAUAAGAUGUAGUUCUAACCAAAUUGAUUCUUAUUUACCUAUGUACGUAAUUCUAAUAAGUUGACUAAAGAAUCCUAAUUAAUUUAAGUUAUUGAUAUUACAUGUUUUUAUAUUUGGAAAAUGUAAGAAGCCCUAAUAUUCACUUUGGAAUUAACUAAAAUUGAACUUACUAAAUCUUUCCUUGUAAUUGUUUGAGUUAUGUUAAAAUUCAAAAAUUUUAAAAAUAAUGUAAAUUUUACAUUUAGAUUAAUUAUUGUAGGGUGUAGGUUGGUAGAAUCCUAUUCAACUCCUCCUUUAAUAUUUUAUAUUAAAAACUUAAAGUACUUAAACUUUACCUUAUAUAGAAAUCUGAGUAUAUGAUGUAUAAUUCCUUCAUGUUAGGUUUCUUUAUCUUAAUCAAAUAAAAAUUAACAUGGAAUUUGUGAUGCUUUUUUAUUAAUUAAAAUUUAAAAUUUACGUGUGUGGUUUUCACUUGUUAAAGGACAAUUUUCUUAAACUUUUCUUACCAUAUAUUUUAAGACUCCUUUUUCAUGUACACAGGGAUAAAACAAAACCUACUAAUAACAAUUUACCAUAUAUAUUUGAAUUACUUAAUUUUUUAAUAAUUAAUUAAUAAUUAAAGAAAAUAACUGAAAAGAUAAUUUUAUCUAUUGCGGAGUCUUUUUAUGAAAGGCAAAGAGUUGAAUCACUUUUCUAAGGGUCUUCACACUUUUAAUAUACUAGUUUAGGUGUACGCGCUUCGCGCGUGUAUCUUAGUUUAAUGAAUUCAAUUUUAUAAAAUCAUUCAAGAUAAUGAUUUUUCAAAAAGUGUAUUGCAUUUUUUGUUUGUUAGCAUCUUCACAUUACAGCUGCUUUCAGCUAUUAUUCAAUUCUAUGAAAAAAGUAGAAAUUAGCCAACCGAAAAGCAAGUAUCUUACUUUAAACACAAGAAAAUUUAUAAAGAAGAGUAUAUUCUCUUUAGUCCUCCCUUGAGCCAUUUUCCUUAGCUCUUGUCUCUUUCUUUAAUCCUCUCAAUCUCUCUUUUCAACUUAUUUAAUUUCAUAUCAACACAAUUAUUAUUUUGUUUGAAUUCUUUAGGCUUGUUAGCUUCUUCAGGAAAUUCCUUAACUAAUCUGUUCAACCCAAUUAAUUUCUCAACUUCAUUGGCUGAUGUAUGAUAUUCAAUAUGUUGGGAAGAUUCCUCGAAAAAUAUUUUUGUCAACUAACAUUUAUAUUUAGGAUUUUAUUAUAGUAGGUAGAUAGAUUAACUCAAUUUACAAUGAAUAAUGUACUUGAUUUGUCUUCAAACCUAAUUAGUAAGCCCAAAAUUGAAAGAGUCGGCUAUAAUACUAAAUUUAUAUGUUCAUCAUUCAAACAAAAGUUAUGCAAAUCAAGAUUCAACACUUAUUAUAAGCUUAUAUUUAGAACUCAACCAAUAAGUUUAAUUAAUAAUCCAAGUAUAAUACCAAUGAAAUAGUUAAAUAACAUAAUCAAAACAAAGUCACAAUUACAUAAAGGAAGAAAAAAAAAAGAGAUAAACCUUUGAUAUUUUUGACCACUUUACUUGAUGGCGACAUAUUUAUUUCUUUCAAUUUUUGAUUAAAAAUUUCCUAUUGAAAGAGAAACACGAGAAAUUAUCAAAAGAGAAAAUUAUAUUGUCAGUUGUGGAUGAUUUAAUCAUAAUUUAUAUCGUAUAAUCUUUAAAGUUAUUAACUAAAAAGAAUAAAGAAAGACAGAGAAGAUGAUAAUUAAUUAGGACUACACACACAAAAAAAGAAAAAGACAACUUGAAUUAAUAACGAAAUAAGGAGAAAAAAUAAAAGUAGAGCUAUGUUUCUUGUAAAUUUGAUCCAAAAUAUAUUAAUUAAAUAGAAUUGUAAUUUUUAUUUUAACCAAUUAAUUAAAGUUUUUAAAGAUUUAUUUAAGAUAGAAUUUUUAAUUGAUUUAAAAUUCCUAAAUUUUAGCUAAAAAAGAAAAAGAAAAAGAUAACUUGAAUUAAUAACGAAAUAAGGAGAAAAAAUAGAAGUAGAGCUAUGUUUCUUGUAAAUUUGAUCCAAAAUAUAUUAAUUAAAUAGAAUUGUAGAUUUUUUUUUCUUUAUAUAACAUAAAAUUUUAAGUGAUUUAGAAGUGUUAAAUAUUAUGAAUUCUUACUUAAAUUAAAUAACCAAAUCAAAAGAAGUUAUACCUAAAAUAAAUUGGGAACAAAACUUUUAGCAAAAAGGAUUCUUACGUGAAGAUAAAAAAUGUCAAAAUAGUACUCACCAAUUAAUUAAUAUUUUUAAAGAUUUAUUUAAGAAACAACUUUUAAUUGAUUUAAAAUGCCUAAAUUUUAGCUAUAUAAUUCUAAUAAGGAAAGGUUUAAGAACUAAAUUUUAAUGAAUUUUUAAGUUAUAAAUUUUUUUUAAAAUGUAAAAAUAUAUUUACGUCUAUUGCAUAUUUUUGUAAUGAAGGAUAAAAAGUUUAAAUUAUUUUUUUCAAGGGUUUUUACACUUUUAAUAUAUUAUAAAUAUAGAUAUAUAUAAAGGAGAAUUAAGACAGUUGUGAUGUGGCAUGUCCCUCCGUUCACAUUUAUCUUUUUUCUCUUUUUUUGACAAUUUUUUUAAUUUUUUUCUUUGUUUUCUACUCAAAAGGUUUAAACAAUAUACUAUCCAUUCAUUGAGUGUAAUUAAUAAUUAUUGUAAUUAAGCUAAUGAAAUUGAAAAGUCCCCAUCAACUAUAUAGUCUGCUGUCCAUCGUGCCAUCUCCCCUUUAUUAAUUUUGAGAAUAUUAAUUUUAUUACAUACUCAGAAAAAUCAACCGUCAUCUUUAAUAAUCUUAAGCAUACCACUUUAUUCUAUUAAUUACACCUUUUCCUUUUCUCUGAAUCUGUUUCAGAUAGAAUUUUUUAUAUACCAGGUAAAUGAGAACAAAUUGAACAUAGGUCUAAUUAUCUAAAAUGAUUUGUUGGAAUUUAUUAGCACAUGGAAAAGAUAUCUUAUUUCUCUUAUAAUUUAGGUAGUUGAAUGGUAUUUAAUGCAUCGUGCAAGUAUUCUUUUUAUUUUUUUGUUUUUAUUUCUUCUUUGUUCAUUAUUUUAUUUUCGAAAUGUUUUUAACUUCGUUUAUCUAUCUUUUUUUUUCGAAAGAAAAUUUUAUUGUGAUUUUUCUUAAGUUUUUGAUGAAUUAGAACGUUAUCGCCCGCAAGUUAUCAACAUUUUAUCAUUAAUUCAUGGUGUCAAUAGACAACAUUUAUUUGUUGCGCUUAUCUACAGAUAGCGUACGGGAUUGGCCAUCUGCUAGGAAAAAAUAGAUGGAUGAAUAAGUUCAUACUGUCCUUGAGAUCGUGAAUUGAUUUUGUUACUAUCAGUAUUUUGUGCUUUAAAUUAUGCUUUGAGUGAUAAAUAAUUAAAUGAUCUUAGUAUAGGUGCUUCAACUAUGAAUGACGGGGUCUUUGCAGGGAGUUAUUAUUUUUCUACUACUCCAAAUAGAAUUUUUCGUCAUUCACCUUCUUCCACAAAUUUUCUACUAAUAGAAUUUUUUUCAUCAUUCACCUUUUUUCACAAUUGUAAAUGCUAAUUAGGAUUUGCAUUUAAAAUACAUAAUCUGUCUUAGAAUAAAAUAUUGUUAUUAUGUAUAAAGCUGGACAUAAAUAAAGUGAUAUAUGACACUUUUCUACGACUAACGUUACUAUUUAUUUUUUUGUGAAAUUUUUGAUAGUUUUCGUCAAUUUCUUCCUUCAAAUAUUAUUUAAAUAAAGGCUUCUUGUAUGCAUUGAUUGUUAAAGAAAAAAAUAUCUCUGUGUUGAAUUUUAAGGUAAAGAAAUUGUUAUUUUCCUGCAUUAAAACUAUUCUAAAUUCAUUAGAAUUAUACAUUCAGAAAAGAAUUGAAUUGAAUAAUAAAAUUUCAGUUUCAAAAACCCCUCAUUUUCGGAUACUAAAUGAAAGAAAAAUGAUGAUUUUGCAAAUUAUAUUAUGAUACAAUAAAAAGAUUGAAGAAGUGAACAAAGAAACAAAUGAUUGGUGUUGUGAAGGCGAAGUUGCAGGUUGGCAUCGACAAACCAAUAAGUGAUCCACAUGAAGCAUCAAUUAUUCAGUAUCACCGGGCUUUUCUUUUUUGACUUUUAUUUUGGUGAAUUAUUCUUUAACAUGGUGAGCACAUAUCUAAAAGUACUGUUGAUCUUUAUUUAUAAGUCUGGAAGUGUGAAAUUGCGUUUGAAAUGUAUCAUUUCUGUGUGGUACCUAUAUUGCUUGAACCUUUUAAAAUUAUUGAUGUAUCCUCCAAAGUGUACUAUUUCUGAAGAAUUCAUAUAUAGGCGUUGAUAUUUUUAAAGAGUUUAAUUAACAUAAUGUGGUAUUGUGUAGCCUCUUUUCAGAUUUGAUUUGUGCAAGUAAUUUCAAAUAUACAUAUCAAUGAGAUGAGUGUGUGAAUAUUUGUGGUAAGUUAAAAUUGCACUGUAACGAAAAAAGUGACUAUUCACUUCGGUAUAUGUAAUUGAAAUUGUGCCAAGUAUGUCUGUCAAAAAGAGCGAAAAUCGUUUUCCCUGAAGUUUGUCUUAAAAAUCAAUCUCCAACUAUCAACAAUAAUCAACCUCCCCCCUUUAUCCCAUGCAAUAUCCAUUUUUUCCUUGUAAUAUGAUAAUGUUUAUGGACAUUGCAUAAAAACAUAAACAUUUAUCUUCAUUUUUAAAAAAAAAUCAUAUAACAAAAUCUUCAUAAAAACAUAAACAUUAUCUUCUAAGAAAAAAAUAACUAAUUAAGUAUAUAAGCUAAUGAUGAUCUUUAUGAAGUAAAUUAGCAUGAUAUAAGAAAAUAAGUUUUAUUAAUAAUAAUCAAAAAUAUAAUAUUUAUUUUACAAGUGAAAAUAAUAAGUAAUACUAAUUUUAUAAACAUAUUUCAAUGCAAAAAAUACGAACAAUAAAUGAAAGAGAUUAGUCUCUAGUAAAACCUUUAUUACAUAAAAUGGAGCCCACGUCAAAGGUGUUACGCCAUCUAAAAUAAUUGACAAAGGGUAUCAUGUUAGCUAAAAAGUUUGACAAAAAUACGCUAAAAUUUAGUUUAAGGGGUAAUAGGACCCCCGUGUAGUUGACGUGUGUCGUAGCAAAUCUGAUCAUAGUUCGGGGGCACUAGAUGUUUUUUUCGAAUAAAAAUAAGGUCAAAUUUUAAAGAUUAUAUUAUUUAUAUAAAUUAUAAAAUAUGUAAUACUCUAUUAAUGACAAUCACAACUUAUUUACUGAUAUAGACAAUAGAUAAUAUCGUUUCUUAUCACUUGAUCCUCA